ACCGGAGAAUGUUAUCACGGGAGACACACGGCGGGUGCUAACGUCCGUCGUGAAGAGGGAAACAACCCAGACCGCCAGCUAAGGUCCCAAAGUCAUGGUUAAGUGGGAAACGAUGUGGGAAGGCCCAGACAGCCAGGAUGUUGGCUUAGAAGCAGCCAUCAUUUAAAGAAAGCGUAAUAGCUCACUGGUCGAGUCGGCCUGCGCGGAAGAUGUAACGGGGCUAAACCAUGCACCGAAGCUGCGGCAGCGAACGUAUCACCCAAGACAACUUUACGGAGUUGACGAUUGACGGAGCGAAGCGACGUCAAAGCGUUCAUUAAAGUCGAGUUGGCUUAGGGAUACGUUCGUUGGGUAGGGGAGCGUUCUGUAAGCCUGUGAAGGUGUGUCGUGAGGCAUGCUGGAGGUAUCAGAAGUGCGAAUGCUGACAUAAGUAACGAUAAAGCGGGUGAAAAGCCCGCUCGCCGGAAGACCAAGGGUUCCUGUCCAACGUUAAUCGGGGCAGGGUGAGUCGACCCCUAAGGCGAGGCCGAAAGGCGUAGUCGAUGGGAAACGGGUUAAUAUUCCCGUACUUGGUGUUACUGCGAAGGGGGGACGGAGAAGGCUAUGUUGGCCGGGCGACGGUUGUCCCGGUUUAAGCGUGUAGGUGUGUGUUCCAGGUAAAUCCGGUUCACUUUAACACUGAGGCGUGAUGACGAGGCACUACGGUGCUGAAGCAACAAAUGCCCUGCUUCCAGGAAAAGCCUCUAAGCAUCAGGUAACAUCAAAUCGUACCCCAAACCGACACAGGUGGUCAGGUAGAGAAUACCAAGGCGCUUGAGAGAACUCGGGUGAAGGAACUAGGCAAAAUGGUGCCGUAACUUCGGGAGAAGGCACGCUGACACGUAGGUGAAGUGAUUUACUCACGGAGCUGAAGUCAGUCGAAGAUACCAGCUGGCUGCAACUGUUUAUUAAAAACACAGCACUGUGCAAACACGAAAGUGGACGUAUACGGUGUGACGCCUGCCCGGUGCCGGAAGGUUAAUUGAUGGGGUCAGCGCAAGCGAAGCUCCUGAUCGAAGCCCCGGUAAACGGCGGCCGUAACUAUAACGGUCCUAAGGUAGCGAAAUUCCUUGUCGGGUAAGUUCCGACCUGCACGAAUGGCGUAAUGAUGGCC
rnacentral:rRNA from 1 species